CAUGGUUUUGUGGUGAGACUGAGUGAUCCUGGAACAGGGAGGCAGAGGUUCGGCUCCUGCCAGAUACCACAAAUAUUUUCUUUUCUUCAUUUUCUUCAUCAAAUUACUCCAACGUAUAAAAUGGAUCGCGCAUUGGUCCCACCAUGAGCCCAAACUUCGAUUCGAAUUGUGAACAUCCUUCAAUUUCAAUUUCAGUUUCAAGUUUGAAGUUUCGAAAAACGUAGUAGGCCUAGAAAAGGCAGUUUAAGUAGAACAUUUUGACACCGUUUCAUCGCCACCGGACAUGGCCUAGGGGGUAGAGAUGUUGCCUGCCAAGUGUCCGGUCCUGGGUUCGAUUCCCAGUGUAGGCUGCGUACACUUCUGUCAUCAAUGCCUACUACACACAUACAAUGUCAUCAAAUAACACAACAAAUACAAAUCACAAGUAAUGAAAUCAAAAUUUAAAGUAAAAUGUAAAUAAUUUGGAACAAGUUCAAGUCAAAAUUGUAAAGUUAAAUAAAAUGUUUGCUUUUUCAAAUAUAAUUUAAUUUUGAUUUUUUUUUUUUUGGUAAAUUCUGCUUUUUUUUUUACUUCUGAAGAAGUGGUUAAACUGAAUUUUUGAGUGAUGGGCAGGAGGGGAAUGAAAGGAUCUUUGCCGUGACACUUUUCUUUCAGUUGCUCGAUUCUAGUGGGCUUUGUUGUGUAUUGUUCACACAACUGUGGACAGACAUCAAUGGGAUAGGUUGUAGAAAAUGAUGGCAACAGAUAAUUCCCAAUGCGACGCUUAAUCAGCAGUAUCUCCAUGAGCCUUGCCAGCGGUUUGAAUUUUUCAUAGAAAUAUAGAGAACAGAGAAAAGCUGAAAGUCGGAACCACAUAAACAUUUAUUUUUUUACAAGAACAACAACGAAGAGGGACGUGUGAGAUGCUUUUUACGAG